UCCCUCACUGGCGGCCAUUUUGGAUGAUGGAACAGCUACAAAGUAACAACACUUGGUCAGCACCUUGUAAGGAACAUUCAUGCUAUGUUUUGUUUCAUUCCAUUCAGUGGUUCUCUAAAAGAAGUCAUUUGUAUGCAUUUCCCAUAGGGUCCUAUGUUAAACUAAGUCCCUCACUGGUGGCCAUUUUGGAUGAUGGAACAGCUACAAAGUAACAACACUUGGUCAGCACCUUGUAAGGAACAUUCAUGCUAUGUUUUGUUACAUUCCAUUCAGUGGUUCUCUAAAAGAA